rnacentral:rRNA from 1 species
CCUACGGGUGGCAGCAGUGAGGAAUAUUGGUCAAUGGACGAGAGUCUGAACCAGCCAAGUAGCGUGAAGGAUGACUGCCCUAUGGGUUGUAAACUUCUUUUAUAUGGGAAUAAAAUGUUCCACGUGUGGGAUUUUGUAUGUACCAUAUGAAUAAGGAUCGGCUAACUCCGUGCCAGCAGCCGGGGUAAUACGGAGGAUCCGAGCGUUAUCCGGAUUUAUUGGGUUUAAAGGGAGCGUAGGUGGAUUGUUAAGUCAGUUGUGAAAGUGUGCGGCUCAACCGUAAAAUUGCAGUUGAAACUGGCAGUCUUGAGUACAGUAGGGGUGGGCGGAAUUCGUGGUGUAGCGGUGAAAUGCUUAGAUAUCACGAAGAACUCCGAUUGCGAAGGCAGUUCACUGGACUGCAACUGACACUGAGGCUCGAAAGUGUGGGUAUCAAACAGGAUUAGAUACCCCAGUAGUC